UAGGGAAUCUUCCGCAAUGGACGCAAGUCUGACGGAGCAACGCCGCGUGAGUGAAGAAGGAUUUCGGUUCGUAAAACUCUGUUGUUAGAGAAGAACAGCGCAUAGAGUAACUGUAAUGCGUGUGACGGUAUCUAAUCAGAAAGCCACGGCUAACUACGUGCCAGCAGCCGCGGUAAUACGUAGGUGGCAAGCGUUGUCCGGAUUUAUUGGGCGUAAAGCGAGCGCAGGCGGUCAAAUAAGUCUGAUGUGAAAGCGCCCGGCUCAACCGGGGAGGUGCAUUGGAAACUGAUUAACUUGAGUGCAGAAGAGGAGUGUUAAAUUCCAUGUGUAGCGGUGAAAUGCGUAGAUAUAUGGAGGAACACCAGUGGCGAGGGCAUCUCUCUGGUCUGUAUCUGACGCUGAGGUUCGAAAGCGUGGGUAGCAAACAGG
rnacentral:rRNA from 1 species